rnacentral:tRNA from 1 species
GGAGAGGUGCAGGAGCGGCUUAACUGGCACGACUGGAAAUCGUGAGUACGCCAAAAGCGUACCGGGGGUUCAAAUCCCCCCCUCUCCGCCA